GACGAACGCUGGCGGCGUGCCUAAUACAUGCAAGUUGAGCGCUUAAGGUUGGUACUUGUACCAACUGGAUGAGCAGCGAACGGGUGAGUAACGCGUGGGGAAUCUGCCUUUGAGCGGGGGACAACAUUUGGAAACGAAUGCUAAUACCGCAUAAAAACUUUAAACACAAGUUUUAAGUUUGAAAGAUGCAAUUGCAUCACUCAAAGAUGAUCCCGCGUUGUAUUAGCUAGUUGGUGAGGUAAAGGCUCACCAAGGCGAUGAUACAUAGCCGACCUGAGAGGGUGAUAGGCCACAUUGGGACUGAGACACGGCCAAAACGCCUACGGGAGGCAGCAGUAGGGAAUCUUCGGCAAUGGACGAAAGUAUGACCGAGCAACGCCGCGUGAGUGAAGAAGGUUUUCGGAUCGUAAAACUCUGUUGGUAGAGAAGAACGUUGGUGAGAGUGGAAAGCUCAUCAAGUGACGGUAACUACCCAGAAAGGGACGGCUAACUACGUG
rnacentral:rRNA from 1 species